CUUAGCUAAAGCAUUCCAGUUCUGAUAAAUCUGAACGACUGACUCCUUGACUACUGACUGAGCUGAUGAUAUCCCUAAAUAUUCUAAAUUUUAUGCGUCUGAAGCACUUUUCUAGAUAAAAAAAUCGACUUCGCAUACUUUUUCCAUUCCGUUUUAAUGCUAUAUGUUUCAAUGGCACAUUGGUAGUAAAACAGCUUACAGACAAUGAAAAAAGAAAAUGAGUAAACAAAGAAAAAACAAAUAUAGGAAAAAAAAAACCAAACGGAAAUAGAAAUUAUUGCUCAAGGGUAAUAUUUUACAGGAUUUAAGUGUU
rnacentral:lncRNA from 1 species